CUGUGUGCAUGCACUUGAGGGAGUGUGUUCAUCCAGAUAGGCCUGUUUGAAGAAGAGGAAUCGGCUCCAAAACAAUUUAAACAAUGAGUGCGCACACCCAGAACAUGUCACUCGUCAGAAGGCCUUAGCUGACUUUGGACAAUGCCUAGGGACACCACGCUCUGGUCAGCACCAAAACAAACUUCUUCGAAUUCGUCUAUUUAUAGGACCUUUGCAGUAUUGCCAGAUACGCCGGCACCACCUAGGGUCGCCAAAACAAACCAUGUUUACAAUAGAUCUUCACAGAAAAGGAUGCACAUUGGCUCGAGACGACAUUCGAAAGUCGGUCAGCGGGUAGCACGUGUGCACAGCAUGAUGCACUGUCAAGAUUUUUUACAAUUUGUAAUACAAUUUUUUAAAGGAUAUUUGAUUGACGGGGUGCAAUAGCAUCGGCCAGCAUCACCAUGGCAAUGACGGCAUGAAAGAGGCUUGGCAUCUCCAGCACAUAUCGUUUAAGAUAUGUUUCAAAUCAGUUGCAAAAAAUUUUUUCUACCACUUACAUGUAUUUCUUUUUGUUUUGUAAAUAUGAUUGCAUCCAUCGCCAUCGGGAUACCAAAUCUUGGUAACUCAUGUUUUUUAAAUGUGGCAUUGCAGGCCCUCCGUGCCACCCCUGGGGUUUUUAAUGCCACUCGUGCCCACACUCAAGUGUUUUGAAGAAUGUAAAAUCCAGUGUGUGAUAAACAUGUGUAAAGAAACCUUUCGUAAGAAGCCAGAAGAGCUUUACAACAAUCUUGGACUGGGAGAUGGAGGCCAUCAUAAACUUCUUGUAGGAUGAGUUGCCGCAGACAGAGAUGAAAACCAUGAUGAAUGUCCGUGAGCCAGAGGCUAUGAUUUGUUUAGUACAACAAUGCGAGGGACUUAACAAAAUUGAGGCGGAAAUAUUCUUGAGGCAGUGUCGGUGCAUGGAAGAAACGGAAACAUUGGAUUAAGGAUUUAUUUCAUAGUGAAUUACACAGUCACAAAUGGAUUACACACGUUCUGGAUUAGACUAGUUUCUGCUGCAACUGACAUUUUUGCAGGUGCCCACUCGUAGGCGAUUCCUUGAUGUCUUCCUUGGAUUUUACAUGAUAUUAUGUCAUUUUCGCCAACAUCGGGUUUUGGC